rnacentral:lncRNA from 1 species
CUUCUACCCCUCGGGCCAAAUAUAUUACAAGCAGGAUGAUCCCUAUCUUCCCCUUCUGGUAGAUAAGCUCUCCAGUACCAAUCCCUAUCUUGAACUGUUACAAAGUAUUUACCAUCCAAUCUCUUCUCGGAUUCAGUCCUCUUUUGGCCACCAAACAUUGGAUGGAGGUCCUCUUUUGGCCACCAAACAUUGGAUGAAGUAGAAUAUUACCCAAUACCUUAAUAUCGGCUUCCGCAGCCCUCACAGCAACAUGGUGAGCAAUAUUACCACCAGAACUAUCACCGGCCAAGUAAACAUGAACUUUCAAAUCCUUUCCACUCUGAAGCCAUGGCCUUGAUUGCACCCAUUGAAGAGCAGUCCAUCCGUCAUCGUAAGCACAAGGAUAGCGAUGCUCAGGUGAUCGUCGAUAAUUCACAGAAACAACAACAGCCUUGCAAAUGCUAACAAGGCGACGGCAAAAUGUAUCAUAAAUAGCACUAUUGGCUGAAGAAUGAGUAAAACUUCCACCAUGGAAGAAAAUAAUGACAGGUACUAUUUCUGUGGUGCUCAAAGGUUUCUCAAGCUCAACUUUAGCCCAAUCGGCCUCAUUUUUUGGGGCUGGUCUAUAGACGCGGUUAAGCAGGCUUGUAGCACGAUCAAUGACAUCAAAAGAGUAAACUCCAUCAACUGGAAUCGAGUUUGCAGCAACUUUCCUUUCCAAGAACUCAGCCAAAUCUCGAUUAAAAGUGCCAUCAGAACGACGAAGCAUGUUGUAAGCCAGCUUGAAAUUGGAUAUAAGAAUCCAUGUAUUAAGUGGAACUACUCUCUGCCAAAAUGGACAUAAUAUGGCCCAGUCAUUACAAAAAUAACAUCUACAAAUAGUAGAACCAAUAUCCACUUCCCAUUCUGAGGUGCUAACAGCAAAUUGAUCAUAGCAAUAUGCAUCUUGUGACAAUCCACAAAUAGUCACAACAAAUAAAGGAAAUAUUAGGCAAUUUUUUUAUGCAUAGCCAGAAAGAGAAAGUAGCAAACGGAAAAGAAAGAAUCAAACCCCAAAAGAGCAAAUAGGAAAGUAAAAAGUGAUU